AUUGAACGCUGGCGGCAGGCCUAACACAUGCAAGUCGAGCGGAUGAAGGGAGCUUGCUCCUGGAUUCAGCGGCGGACGGGUGAGUAAUGCCAGGAAUCUGCCUGGUAGUGGGGGAUAACGUCCGGAAACGGGCGCUAAUACCGCAUACGUCCUGAGGGAGGAAGGUGGGGAUCUUUGGACCUCACGCUAUCAGAUGAGCCCAGGUCGGAUUAGCUAGUUGGUGGGGUAAAGGCCUACCAAGGCGACGAUCCGUAACUGGUCUGAGAGGAUGAUCAGUCACACUGGAACUGAGACACGGUCCAGACUCCUACGGGAGGCAGCAGUGGGGAAUAUUGGACAAUGGGCGAAAGCCUGAUCCAGCCAUGCCGCGUGUGUGAAGAAGGUCUUCGGAUUGUAAAGCACUUUAAGUUGGGAGGAAGGGCAGUAAGUUAAUACCUUGCUGUUUUGACGUUACCAACAGAAUAAGCACCGGCUAACUUCGUG
rnacentral:rRNA from 1 species